rnacentral:sRNA from 1 species
UUGAAUGUUUACAUUACCCAUACUUUGC